UCUUUGCUAGUAUAUCGGUUAGUACACGCGCCUGUCAUUCGGUUGACUCCGCGCGAAAGCUGGGUUCGACUCCCAGGCAGAGAG